UUUAAAUGUCUCGGUGUGAUUGGUAAAAUGGUCCUAAUUUCAGAGCAGUCACUUGUAUUAUGAGAAAGAUUGAAAACUUAUGAGAAUUCUGUUUUCCUUUUUGGGUGUUGUCUUUUCAAAAUAUCUGAUAACCCACUCCUCUCCCCCAACAACAAAAAAUAUUUACGUUCCUUUUUUCUGGUCUGGGUAUUUAAGGGACGGCGGCAGAGCAGCCAUUUGGGACAUUCUGCAGCCAGAACACCCAUGAAUUAUUAGAAAUAUUCAUCCACCAUUGUAUGUAUGCAUUUCUUACUUUUGGAGUCAUCUUUGAGCAAUUAAUGUUAUGUAUUUAUUAUUUCUGAACUGGCUUCUAAUUGUUUAAUUGUGUAAUUGGCAUGAUACGUUUUUAUCUGACAAAUAAAUGUCAUUCUUGAUUUAUUCUGCAUUUAUUCCUAAAUCAUUAUGACCAGUAGAUUAAGUGGAGUUUGGUAUUUCCGCAAAUCUGCGUCAAGAUAGAUCACACGGCGGUCUCAAUGAAACGAGCAUGUUGCACAUCAUGUGGGACAUUUUGAUUUCUGUCUAUCACUGACUUAGCAAGUUGCAGUGUCGUGACUAAGAAAACUGUGUUUUUGUAUGAACAAGCAUGGGGCGGUUCAACUCAAAUGCAUUAGUGAACUCUGCACCCUCUGACUAAGAAUCAGAACUGGCGGGUUUGUGAUCGUGAGAAGUACAUAAUCGGCCGAUGUAACUUCCUGUGUGAUACCGAGUCCCUAAUGAACAAAUAAUUGAAAAUAUAAGAAAAUUGGGAUUUGCAACAAGCAAGAGGUUUGGUCUUCUUCUCUUUCUUCAGCUGUUGUGGGGGGUCAACAAAUGCAGUGGUAGCUAUCUGGAUCCUUCCAUUUUCCCCUCUGUCAGCAAACACAGGGUUUGUUAUCCUGCUCAGCGUGCCAGAUGACUUGUCCCUGCCUGCAUAAUCUCCUGCACUGGCUUUGUCAACAUUCAAGAACAAAUUGACAGCACAUGCUCUGCAUCAGAGCUGCUUUUCUACAUUCAAACAUGAACACAUUUAAAAAAAAAAAAAAAAAAAAACGUCUGGAGCUGGUUUGAUUGCAGGUGCCAUUCGGCAAAGUGGGUCAAGACAAAUAUACAAUAAAAUUAAGCUGCUCUUUAAAGCCAGAUGCUUUGUCAGUAUGCAAUGUUUCAUUGUCAUUUUGUGGUAAUGCUUUGCAUUUUGAAAGAAAGACAGUGUUCAGUUGUUGUCUACCCUGUUAUAACCAUUCGUUUCUGCUCUUUCAUUCACAGUUUCAAAUAGAUGUGUAUAUUUUAGCCUAAUAUAUUCCUUGGCAAAAUCUCUUUAUGGAUAUUUGCCAACUGGGUUAGAACAACCAUCUGUAUUUCUUCUUUGUCCACUUCCUCUAAGCCCUACAAGCCCUUUGGCCCUUUCUUUGUGCAAAACAAAGUUCUUAUAGCCAGUUUUUUAGUUCUUCGAGCACCAGCAGGAAGUUUAAACCAUAACGACUCACAAUUAUCUUUUUUUCUGAAACUAAUUCAACAUAAAAGAGCUGGGGUUGGUUCUACUGAAUAACAUUCAGCUAUAUGGAUUCAAAGGCAUGAUACUGACAAAUUAAUGCAGUGAAUUAAUUUAGCAAUGGCUAUAUCUGCUAUUUAAAAAAGAAAAGAAAAGAAAAGAAAAGAAAAGAAAAGAAAAGAAAAGAAAAGAAAAGAAAAGAAAAGAAAAGAAAAAGAUACAUUCUAGGUAUAUCCAAAAUCAAACAUUUGCACCAUCCUGUCUACAUAUAAAUGGCAUCUGAUGGAGCGGUUAAAGUUAGUUCAUUUAUAAAUGUCAAUUUUUCCAUAUUUUUUUAACCUAUUACUCCAUUUCUAUGCAGAAAUAAGAAUUGUAUUAACUAAAUAUUUGCUAUGGCUAUUGUUUUAGACCCCUAGACAUUAUGUUAUGGUGUUUACUUAAAAGGCAAUUUCAUACACAGAACGCUGCCUUUCACUUACUGGGCAGCAAGGCAGUUACUUUCUCAAACACUGCCAAUGACUCACUGACCCAAACACACUACCUGG